AAACUUUCGAAAAAAAGAAAGACGAAAGAAAACAAGAUAAUUAGAAAGACAGAAAAAAAAUCAAAAGUUGUACAAUUUAUUUCAAAAAAUAAAACUGCAAAACAAUCAAUGCAAACAGAAGUACAAAUGGUAGUGUUCAGAAAACACAACUUUCCUGUAAAGAAACUUACACAAGUCUCCAGCACCAAACUAAAAUUUCAAAAGGUCAGUCAACCAAACAGAUGGAAGAGCAUAGCAUAAAACAGUCAAUUAAAGAAGUUAGUGUACAGGAGUCAGAAUAUUUUUAAAA
rnacentral:lncRNA from 1 species